GCCGCACCUGGAAAGAGGGAUGUUGAUGACUGGCUAAGUGAAGGAAUUACCUUCUGUCUUAAGAGGAAAGAUAUUGAACCUCAGACACCUAUACUGUUACCUAGGGACCCCACUCCGGGACCAUUUGAACCGCCAUCUCCCUGUUUGGAAAUGGAAAUAUUAUCUGAUGCUGAAACGCCCCCAAUGGUGGAACUUCAGGACGCUCAGGAUAUUGAAGAUACUCUUAUGGCAAACUGCGAACAGGUCGUGGCAGAUUUCCUUACGACCAACAGUCAGGCUGAAAGACCGGGGUUGCCAACAGAUGGAUUUAAUGAAACAUCGCAAGAUUUCGAGGACCUAACUUCAUUACCCAUUAUUCAAAACAUAACUCAAGACUUGAAAAUUGAAACCCCUAUCACUCGGCCGAUAUCAACUAAAAAGAGGACUGCUGAAAGUAAUGAUGAUAUCUCAAAUGCCAUGGCUCGAACCGGCGUUUUCUCCGAACUUCCUUCACACGAUGCGGUGGAUAUUGAAUCCAGUAGCAUCCCCGAAGAUGAUCUGGAGGAAGUCGUUAGUGCAGCAAAGAGAA
rnacentral:sRNA from 1 species